CUUAACACAUGCAAGUCGAACGGAAAGGCCCUGCUUUUGUGGGGUGCUCGAGUGGCGAACGGGUGAGUAACACGUGAGUAACCUGCCCUUGACUUUGGGAUAACUUCAGGAAACUGGGGCUAAUACCGGAUAGGAGCUCCUGCUGCAUGGUGGGGGUUGGAAAGUUUCGGCGGUUGGGGAUGGACUCGCGGCUUAUCAGCUUGUUGGUGGGGUAGUGGCUUACCAAGGCUUUGACGGGUAGCCGGCCUGAAAGGGUGACCGGCCACAUUGGGACUGAAAUACGGCCCAAACUCCUACGGGAGGCAGCAGUGGGGAAUAUUGCACAAUGGGCGGAAGCCUGAUGCAGCAACGCCGCGUGCGGGAUGACGGCCUUCGGGUUGUAAACCGCUUUCGCCUGUGACGAAGCGUGAGUGACGGUAAUGGGUAAAGAAGCACCGGCUAACUACGUGCCAGCAGCCGCGGUGAUACGUAGGGUGCGAGCGUUGUCCGGAUUUAUUGGGCGUAAAGGGCUCGUAGGUGGUUGAUCGCGUCGGAAGUGUAAUCUUGGGGCUUAACCCUGAGCGUGCUUUCGAUACGGGUUGACUUGAGGAAGGUAGGGGAGAAUGGAAUUCCUGGUGGAGCGGUGGAAUGCGCAGAUAUCAGGAGGAACACCAGUGGCGAAGGCGGUUCUCUGGGCCUUUCCUGACGCUGAGGAGCGAAAGCGUGGGGAGCGAACAGGCUUAGAUACCCUGGUAGUCCACGCUGUAAACGGUGGGUACUAGGUGUGGGGUCCAUUCCACGGGUUCCGUGCCGUAGCUAACGCUUUAAGUACCCCGCCUGGGGAGUACGGCCGCAAGGCUAAAACUCAAAGGAAUUGACGGGGCCCCGCACAAGCGGCGGAGCAUGCGGAUUAAUUCGAUGCAACGCGUAGAACCUUACCUGGGUUUGACAUGGAUCGGGAGUGCUCAGAGAUGGGUGUGCCUCUUUUGGGGUCGGUUCACAGGUGGUGCAUGGCUGUCGUCAGCUCGUGUCGUGAGAUGUUGGGUUAAGUCCCGCAACGAGCGCAACCCUUGUUCACUGUUGCCAGCACGUUAUGGUGGGGACUCAGUGGAGACCGCCGGGGUCAACUCGGAGGAAGGUGGGGAUGACGUCAAGUCAUCAUGCCCCUUAUGUCCAGGGCUUCACGCAUGCUGCAAUGGCUGGUACAGAGAGUGGCGAGCCUGUGAGGGUGAGCGAAUCUCGGAAAGCCGGUCUCAGUUCGGAUUGGGGUCUGCAACUCGACCUCAUGAAGUCGGAGUCGCUAGUAAUCGCAGAUCAGCAACGCUGCGGUGAAUACGUUCCCGGGGCUUGUACACACCGCCCGUCAAGUCAUGAAAGUUGGUAACACCCGAAGCCGGUGGCCUAACCGUUGUGGGGGAGCCGUCGAAGGUGGGACUGGUGAUUAGAACUAAAUC
rnacentral:rRNA from 1 species